GAUGAACGCUGGCGGCGUGCCUAACACAUGCAAGUCGAGCGAACAGACGAGGAGUUUGCUCCUCUGACGUUAGCGGCGGACGGGUGAUUCACACGUGGAUAACCUACCUAUCAGACUGGGGUAACUACGCGAAACCGGAUCUAAUACCGGAUAAUAUAUUGAACCUCGUGGUUCAUUAGUGAAAGUCGGUUUUGCUGUCACUUAUAGAUGGAUACGCGCCGCAUUAGCUAGUUGGUAAGGUAACGGCUUACCAAGGCUACGAUGCGUAGCCGACCUGAGAGGGUGAUCGGCCACACUGGAACUGAGACACGGUCCAGACUCCUACGGGGGGCAGCAGUAGGGAAUCUUCCGCGAUGGGCGAAAGCCUGACGUAGCAACGCCGCGUGAGUGAUGAAGGUCUUCGGAUCGUAAAGCUCUGUAAGUAGGGAGGAACAAAUGUUUAAGUAACUGUGCACGUAUUGACGGUACCGAAACAAAAAGCCACGGCUAACUACGUG
rnacentral:rRNA from 1 species